CAUGUCUCAGUACAAGCCAAAUUAAGGUGAAACCGCGAAAGGCUCAUUAAAUCAGUUAUGGUUCCUUAGAUCGUACACACAUUUACUUGGAUAACUGUGGUAAUUCUAGAGCUAAUACAUGCAAACAGAGUUCCGACCGGAGACGGAAGGAACGCUUUUAUUAGAUCAAAACCAAUCGGUGGCGGGCUUCGGUCCGUCAUCGUACACACUUGAUGAAACUGAAUAACUUUCUGCUGAUCGCACGGUCUCGCACCGGCGACGCAUCUUUCAAAUGUCUGCCUUAUCAACUGUCGAUGGUAGGUUCUGCGCCUACCAUGGUUGUAACGGGUAACGGGGAAUCAGGGUUCGAUUCCGGAGAGGGAGCCUGAGAAACGGCUACCACAUCCAAGGAAGGCAGCAGGCGCGCAAAUUACCCACUCCCGGCACGGGGAGGUAGUGACGAAAAAUAACGAUACGGGACUCAUCCGAGGCCCCGUAAUCGGAAUGAGUACACUCUAAAUCCUUUAACGAGGAUCAAUUGGAGGGCAAGUCUGGUGCCAGCAGCCGCGGUAAUUCCAGCUCCAAUAGCGUAUAUUAAAGUUGUUGCGGUUAAAAAGCUCGUAGUCGAAUCUGUGUCCCGCGCCGCCGGUUCAUCGCUCGCGGUGUCAACUGGCGUGUUCGCGGGACGUCCUGCCGGUGGACUUAGCCCGCGAGGGCGGUCCAACUUAAAAUCCCACCGCGGUGCUCUUCACUGAGUGUCGAGGUGGGCCGGCACGUUUACUUUGAACAAAUUAGAGUGCUUAAAGCAGGCUAAAAUUUCGCCUGAAUACUGUGUGCAUGGAAUAAUGGAAUAGGACCUCGGUUCUAUUUUGUUGGUUUUCGGAACCCCGAGGUAAUGAUUAAUAGGAACGGAUGGGGGCAUUCGUAUUGCGACGUUAGAGGUGAAAUUCUUGGAUCGUCGCAAGACGGACUUAAGCGAAAGCAUUUGCCAAAAACGUUUUCAUUGAUCAAGAACGAAAGUUAGAGGUUCGAAGGCGAUCAGAUACCGCCCUAGUUCUAACCAUAAACGAUGCCAGCUAGCGAUCCGCCGACGUUCCUCCGAUGACUCGGCGGGCAGCUUCCGGGAAACCAAAGCUUUUGGGUUCCGGGGGAAGUAUGGUUGCAAAGCUGAAACUUAAAGGAAUUGACGGAAGGGCACCACCAGGAGUGGAGCCUGCGGCUUAAUUUGACUCAACACGGGAAAACUCACCAGGCCCGGACACCGGAAGGAUUGACAGAUUGAGAGCUCUUUCUUGAUUCGGUGGGUGGUGGUGCAUGGCCGUUCUUAGUUGGUGGAGCGAUUUGUCUGGUUAAUUCCGAUAACGAACGAGACUCUAGCCUGCUAAAUAGGCGUACUAUCGACAUCUCAAAGGCCCAGCGGGCCGGCGCUCGCGGUCGUGGUCGUGCGCGGUUUUUACUGUCGGCGUACAAUUAAUUCUUCUUAGAGGGACAGGCGGCUUCUAGCCGCACGAGAUUGAGCAAUAACAGGUCUGUGAUGCCCUUAGAUGUUCUGGGCCGCACGCGCGCUACACUGAAGGAAUCAGCGUGUCUUCCCUGCGCCGAGAGGCCCGGGUAACCCGCUGAACCUCCUUCGUGCUAGGGAUUGGGGCUUGCAAUUGUUCCCCAUGAACGAGGAAUUCCCAGUAAGCGCGAGUCAUAAGCUCGCGUUGAUUACGUCCCUGCCCUUUGUACACACCGCCCGUCGCUACUACCGAUUGAAUGAUUUAGUGAGGUCUUCGGAUUGGUACGCGGUGGCGUUUCCGCGUUGUCGAUGUAGCUGGGAAGAUGACCAAACUUGAUCAUUU
rnacentral:rRNA from 1 species